AAUAGAUACCCGGGUAGUCCAUGCUGUAAACGAUGAGAACUAGAUGUUAGGGGGCAUGACCUCUUAGUAUCGAAGCUAACGCGAUAAGUUCUCCGCCUGGGGAGUACGGCCGCAAGGUUAAAACUCAAAGAAAUUGACGGGGGCCCGCACAAGCGGUGGAGCAUGUGGUUUAAUUCGAUGCAACGCGAAGAACCUUACCUACCUUUGAAUCCACGGAACCUAGCAGAGAUGUUGGGGUGCCUUCGGGAACCGUGAGACAGGUGCUGCAUGGCUGUCGUCAGCUCGUGUCGUGAGAUGUUGGGUUAAGUCCCGUAACGAGCGCAACCCUUGUCCUUAGUUGCCAUCAGGUUAUGCUGGGCACUUUAAGGAGACUGCCGGUGAUAAACCGGAGGAAGGUGGGGAUGACGUCAAGUCCUCAUGGCCCUUACAGGUAGGGCUACACACGUGCUACAAUGGGCAGUACAGAGGGAAGCCAACCCGCGAGGGGGGAGCGAAUCGUCAUAAAGCUGUUCGUAGUCCGGAUUGGAGUCUGCAACUCGACUC
rnacentral:rRNA from 1 species